rnacentral:lncRNA from 1 species
UUUCUUUUUUUCAUUUUUCUAAUUAGUUAGAAAUAUUAACAACUUAUUUUUCGAUUUUAGACAUUUUUCACUUUCGAAGAUAACGAUUAUGCUCGAACCGCAUUCGAGAAAUAUUUGACAAUGAACUAUCCCAAAUGAAUGAAUAAAGCCCGGGAAGAGGCGAAGAAACUAGCAGGUGUGGAUCACCUAGACGACGUUGCAAGAAAUUUCCUCCUGGAUACCUGCGAAAGAACCAAUGGGAUGGACUGUUGACGAAGUUUUUGUCAAAUGAUUUUCAAGAAAAAUCAAAAAAGAAUUCUGAAAACUGCACAAGCAAUGAAGGAUACAUCCUCUAUAAAGGAGGAUCGGCAUCUGUUGAAACUAAUACUCAAUCAUUGGUAAAACUAUUUAAUAUCUAAUUGGUUCACUUUUUAUUUCAAGUAAUUGAUCAUUUUUUUAUGAUAUAGAGUUUGAAAAUCGGUCGACCAGCUUCAUUUACAGAAUCUUUUAUGGCCACUCAUUCUCCGAUCAACGAUAGAGGCAAGGUUCUAAUGAUACGUAUUUAAUUAUCAAUAUUUUGUAAUAUUUUUUUUCAUUACUAAUUCAUUUCUUUGUUGAUUAUAAUAGUCAGAUUACGAAACGUACAAAAAGGAAUAUUUCGAUAAACAACAAUCAAUAAAUGAAGACGAGGAGGAGGAGUCAACAGACGAAGAAGAAAUGUCGACGCAAGGAUCGACAUCCUACAAGUAAAAAAGGCCUCUAUUCAUUGAUAACAGUCUGGAAGCUUGGAUUAGGGCUUCAGGAGGCAAGACGAAAAGACGUAUUCUCGGAAUAAGACCGAGGGACGAUUCAUUGAUGCCGAAGAAAUCCAAAUCCAAAAUAAAUCGCCUAACAAAAGAAUAAAGAGAAAAGAAGAAAAAGGAAUAAAUUCAAGAAACUAUUAACGCGUUCGUCACCCAAAGACUUGAGACGAUUAACCAACAAAUGGAGCACAUGCUAAAACUACAAACAGACUUGUUAAGCAAAAUCGCUACUCUAGAAGUAAGUUAUUCAAUAUUUACUAAAAUUCUUAGUAUAAACAUUAACUUAAUCAAUCAAAAUUAUUUUGUUAUUUUUUAGGAGGGAAACACAAGCACGAGCAUGGACCAAGCGAUCAUUCUAAGUAAGGAUCCUCCGAAUCCUCCUUUAGAUCUUG